rnacentral:pre_miRNA from 1 species
ACAUGAAUCAUCUGGUGAUUUUGUUAAAAGGCUGAUUCUGAUUCAGCAGACCUGGAAUGAGGAGGCCUGAGAUUCUGCAUUUUUAACAAGUUCCCAGGCGAUUCUGGU